rnacentral:rRNA from 1 species
GGAUCAAUGGAUUGGUCAUGCCGAUGGUGUGUACUGGUCAUAUUGGUUCUCACCUUCUAAGGAACCAUAAUGUCAUUUAUUUGAUGUUGUGGGGAAUUAGGACUGUUACCUUGAAAAAAUUAGAGUGUUUAAAGCAGGCUAACGCUUGAAUACAUUAGCAUGGAAUAAUGAAAUAGGACA